rnacentral:rRNA from 1 species
GCGAGCGUUGUCCGGAAUCACGGGGCGUAAAGGGCGCGUAGGCGGCCUGUCAAGUCGAUGGUGAAAGCCCGAGGCUCAACUUCGGGUCGGCCACUGAUACUGCUGGGCUUGAGUCGACUAGAGGCAGAUGGAAUUCCGGGUGUAGCGGUGGAAUGCGUAGAGAUCCGGAAGAACACCGGUGGCGAAGGCGGUCUGCUGGGGUCGAACUGACGCUGAGGCGCGACAGCGUGGGGAGCAAACAGG